rnacentral:tRNA from 1 species
GGGCCGGUAGCUUAGUCUGACUAAAAGCGCCUCCCUGUCACGGAGGAGACCACGGGUUUAAAUCCCGUCCGGCCCG